ACCCAAUAGAUACCCGGGUAGUCCACGCCGUAAACGAUGAGUGCUAAGUGUUAGAGGGUUUCCGCCCUUUAGUGCUGCAGCUAAACGCAUUAAGCACUCCGCCUGGGGAGUACGGUCGCAAGACUGAAACUCAAAGGAAUUGACGGGGGCCCGCACAAGCGGUGGAGCAUGUGGUUUAAUUCGAAGCAACGCGAAGAACCUUACCAGGUCUUGACAUCCUCUGACAACUCUAGAGAUAGAGCGUUCCCCUUCGGGGGACAGAGUGACAGGUGGUGCAUGGUUGUCGUCAGCUCGUGUCGUGAGAUGUUGGGUUAAGUCCCGCAACGAGCGCAACCCUUGAUCUUAGUUGCCAGCAUUUAGUUGGGCACUCUAAGGUGACUGCCGGUGACAAACCGGAGGAAGGUGGGGAUGACGUCAAAUCAUCAUGCCCCUUAUGACCUGGGCUACACACGUGCUACAAUGGAUGGUACAAAGGGCUGCAAGACCGCGAGGUCAAGCCAAUCCCAUAAAACCAUUCUCAGUUCGG
rnacentral:rRNA from 1 species